rnacentral:rRNA from 1 species
GGCGGGGGCACGGGGGGAGAGUUUGAUCAUGGCUCAGAUUGAACGCUGGCGGAAUGCUUNACACAUGCAAGUCGAACGGCAGCNCGGGAGCUUGCUCCUGGUGGCGAGUGGCGAACGGGUGAGUAAUGCGUCGGAACGUGCCGAGUAAUGGGGGAUAANGCAGCGAAAGUUGUGCUAAUACCGCAUACGCCCUGAGGGGGAAAGUGGGGGAUCGCAAGACCUCANGUUAUUCGAGCGGCCGACGUCUGAUUAGCUAGUUGGUGGGGUAAAGGCCUACCAAGGCGACGAUCAGUAGCGGGUCUGAGAGGAUGAUCCGCCACACUGGGACUGAGACACGGCCCAGACUCCUACGGGAGGCAGCAGUGGGGAAUUUUGGACAAUGGGGGCAACCCUGAUCCAGCCAUUCCGCGUGAGUGAAGAAGGCCUUCGGGUUGUAAAGCUCUUUCAGCUGGAGUGAAACGGUGCGCUCUAACAUAGCGCGCUAAUGACGGUACCAGCAGAAGAAGCUC